rnacentral:siRNA from 1 species
GGGGUGGUAACUCAUAUUACUGG